rnacentral:rRNA from 1 species
CAGCAGCAGCCGCGGUAAUACGAAGGGGGCUAGCGUUGUUCGGAAUUACUGGGCGUAAAGCGCACGUAGGCGGAUAUUUAAGUCAGGGGUGAAAUCCCGCAGCUCAACUGCGGAACUGCCUUUGAUACUGGGUAUCUUGAGUAUGGAAGAGGUUAGUGGAAUUGCGAGUGUAGAGGUGAAAUUCGUAGAUAUUCGCAGGAACACCAGUGGCGAAGGCGGCUAACUGGUCCAUAACUGACGCUGAGGCACGAAAGCGUGGGGAGCAAACAGGAUUAGAUACCCCGGUAGUCCCUGUCUCUUAUAC